AACGAAUCAUGAAUUUUCAGUCAUUAUUUUGUUAGUUGUUACACCUUACACGGUUUUAUUCAUCUCGUCAGAAGCUUCAUUUCAAGGCCCGGUCAUGCGACAAUUUGAGCAAAAAGGAAGAUUCCGGUAACCGUAGAGGAGUCAAAAUGUUGCGAGUGUGAAAUACAGGAAGAAUCAUCCAACCACUUUUUUCUUCUUUGCCCAAAGACGGGGGAGGCUUGGAAUGAGCUGCAGCUGUGGCUGGGAAUCACAAUUCACAACGGCCCGCCCAAAUCUGAUUGAAAGAUACUUCGGUAUGUUCACAUCUUUCGGGAAAGAAAAGAAGAUUAUAAUUUUACUUCUGACUAUUUGGGUGUGUGGUAUUUGGAUUCUGUGGAAUAAAAGAAAUGAGAAACAUUUUGAUAGGAAGGAUUGGGAAACAAAAAACACUGUUUUGAAAAUCAAAAUUAGGCUUUGAUGCUGGAAUUAGAUAUUCAGGAUUAUAGAUAAAGAGCUUGAUCUCCAAUCUUGGUGCUCAAACGAGCUGAUUUGUAAAUUGUUGUAAGGCUCCUGCCUUGGUACCUCUGGUACCAUUUUUUUCGUUAUAUAUCAUCCUUUUUCUUGAUUAAAAAAGAGGCCCGAACAUAUAAAAAAAUUAGGAUUUCGAUACUGUUUAAAAUCUAAACAUUCCGUGUAAAUGUUAAUGAAUGUUUAAAAUCUAAAAAAUUAGGAUUUUGAAACUGUUAACUUUUUUUAUUUUUUAUUUUGAUAAAUUUAUAAUAUUAAAUAAAGAAAUUAAAAGAUCGUGCCACAUGAAACUCGAAAGUGUUAAUUUGCUCCGUGCAUGUUUGCUUUUAAAGGAGUAUGUUAAAUAUUACUAUAAGCCUAAACGAGAAGAGAGAAGAAAAAGUAGUAAUAAGGCCCGAAUGGAGAAUAAAUAGUGUGAAUUGAGAGGCACUUGGCUUCGCCAUCCACCACUACUCUUUAUUUUUUUAUUUUUUUUCUAUAUAUAUAAAUUAUAUAAAUAAAUAAAUAAAAUUAAAGAUCAUGUAACAAGAUUCGAACUCUAGAACUCAAGCAUUGAACAUUAACGCUCUUUGUUAAACCAACGGACGCUCAGUCAUCACUAAUAUUUCCAUAACAGCCUUUCAGUAUAUAAAUUUUAUUUUGAAGUCCAUUUAUUAUUGCGACUAUUCCAUACCAUUUUCUGCCGCAACUAAGUGUACAUAUUUAUUAUUGGGUGCACAGAUUUUUGGAAUCUUGUAUUUUUUGUUUUGUUAUUGUUAGUGGAUCACAGAUACUCCAGUGGGAAAAUUUUCAAAUGAUGAAUAUUGGAAGAUCUUGAUCAAAAAUUCAAGAAAAUAUGUGCAUCCCACCCAAUAUGAUUCAUUGGAAACGUCCAAACAAUGAAGAUUCCUUAUGUUUUUUGUAGAUCUUGUUUAAUUUCAGCCUGAUAUACGUUUAAUGAUCCAUACGUAUAAAAAUAUAAAAGGAAUUAUAAAUUUGAAAUACUUGUAAAUUAUUAUUUGAAAACAUGAAAUUGAUUGAAAAUUAUAUCUCUACGAAGUAGUUCCCAUUUUUAUUAAUAAUAUGUAUGCACCAUGUAAUCCAAAUGUACCUUUAUUUUCGUAAAAAUAUCACCACCAAACAUUAAAUCUAGCCCAAAAUUCAUGGGAUGCUUCGAUUAAACCCCCUUAAAAAUAUCACCUCCAAACAUUAACUUUAGUAAAGUAAGCACCUUCUUAAAAUUAAAGAUGUCAAUUCAAUUUAAAAUUCGCGGAUUGGUCAGAUUAGAUUGAUAAUCUGAGAGGAUUUAAGGUUGAAAAUUUUCAACCCGAAUAAUCCAACAAUCUGAUAUGAUUGGCUUGAAAAUAAUCCAAAUCAUUUAAGAAAAAUGUGUGCAUCCUUAUGCCUCUAAAAAUUGCAUAUUAAUUACUAUAUAUAAGUCGAUAUUGAAAUAUUACUUAGUUAUGCUUGUAUUUGUUUGUUACAAAUAUAAUAUUGUUAUGAGAAUUAUAUUAGUUAACUUUUUCAAAUAAAUUUUCUACCCUGACUAGCUCGAUGAGCUAGCCCGAAACCUAAACAUUUAGGGUUAGAGUUAAAAAAAAUUAAUCCAAAAAGUUUUCAGUCCGAUUAACCUGUAACCGAAUAAUACGCCCCAAGAUUCGGUGGUUGACUUGAUUGAUAUUUCUACUUAGAAUACUACUUCAUUCAUUUUUGAAAUGGGUUACUCAUUUAAAAAAUGACAUGUGUGCUAAGAAUUUCAUUGAGGGCAUGUGAGUGGAAUAAGGGUUUUAAUUUUAUUGUACGUAAAUUGUGCUAGAUAACUUACUAAAAAAUGAAAUGAAGUAUUUAUUUUAGAGACGAACAUAAUAAAAUAUAAAUAAAUAUUUCAGAGAUGAAAGGGAGUAAUACCACGAUAUUAUGAGACGAAAUGCACUUUUGAAGUGUGUAAAAAAUUAAAAUGGGUGGAUCCAUAUUGACUUUCUUGACAUUAUUGAUAUAAAGUUUGAGGUUGCCCUUCAAGAAAGGAAAUUUGAGCUUGCUUUUAGUUAGAGAAUAGAGAGUAGUAGUAUGUUUGAUGUUUCUCGUAGAAGAUUUUCCAUUAAUAAAAGUUUAAGAUUUUCGUGAUGCCAUUUCAUCAAUUUUUGGUGAAUCCUAAACUAUUCUAUCCUAAAAUCCUAAUGUGUAUUUUGUACUGGCUGAAUUGAAAUUUUAUUAAAGAAAACGGAACCAAAAAAACCCAAAGAAAAGACCAGGGUCGGGCCUCAUUAAAACCUCAGAACGAGGAAAAAGAGUACCUGUCUAGAUACAAAGAAAACAUGAAAGAAACUAGGUGCUGCAGAAACUGAGUUGAGGAGACUUCGGAAGUUCCGGCCGUACCAUCACCCUCAAAUCUCCCCGGUUCCCACCAAGCACCGAAUAAAAAACCCAGGACAAGCUAUCGCACCAUGCGAACAAAGGAAGAAUGUACAUCAUCGAAAACCAGCUGAGCAAUCUCAGGAAUAGAAUGAAGCCAAAACCCUUCCUGCGAAAGAGAGGAAGCGAGGUAAUCGGCAACGCGGUUACCUUCCCGGUAGUUAUGAGAGCAACGGAGGUUGUACUGCUCCACACCUUGAACGCGCCGCCCGCCAUCUGCUCCGGAAACGCCACGGGACCGGAACCUCACGAUUAUUGAAGACAUUAACAACGUAUGUCGAAUCAGAUUCAAUCCAAAGGUUAUACCAUUGAUGAGCAGCAGCCCUCUCAAGAAUGAUAAUAAAAGACAAAAAGUUCCGCCUCAAAGGCAAAACCGGCCCCUGCCGAAAAGUGAAAGGACGCCACCACCGAAUUAAAGGCAUUUCUGACCACACCUCCCGCAUGCAUCACCGGAGGAUUACCUCGAAUGGACCCGUCUAUAUUGGCUUUUAGCCAAGAAGGAGAAGGAAGAUUCCAGCCAACAUCAAUGGUGACCGGAGCAGGGCGCGGAUUGCCUGCAACACCAAGGCGACGAAGGAUCCCGAGCUCAAAUACCGAGUUCGCCAUGCUUCCUAAUUUAAAAUUGCUCGCAGCCUCCAAAAAGGAAAUCUUAAGAAGCUUCAUCAUAGCAUGAGGUGAGGCCACAACAUUUUGAAAAAUCCAAUUGGUUACGAGAGUACCAGAGACCCCAAAGAAUUGUAACGACGCCCACACGCCAAAGGCUUGUCACCUGCGCACUUGCAUUAUAAUUCAUAGCAAAGAUAAUGAUACUGCCAAUAUCAUGAGAAAACGGGACCUCCAUCUCAAACCAUGAGAAAAGAAAACCCCAUAAAUGCUUAGCAAAGUUGCAACCCCAAAAAGAUGAUCAAUAUUUUACCUCUGUCAUUCGAGACAGAUGCUGCAAUGUUUGGCCCAAUGAAACCACAACGUUGAAAGCGCAUCAAAAGUAGGAAGACGGACCAAAAUGAUCCGCCAACAAGUGAUAGAACGACGCACCGGGAUGAAAGGUGCCCAGAUCCACUUCCCCCAAUCCACCGAAGGAAAAGGUGNGUAAUACCACGAUAUUAUGAGACGAAAUGCACUUUUGAAGUGUGUAAAAAAUUAAAAUGGGUGGAUCCAUAUUGACUUUCUUGACAUUAUUGAUAUAAAGUUUGAGGUUGCCCUUCAAGAAAGGAAAUUUGAGCUUGCUUUUAGUUAGAGAAUAGAGAGUAGUAGUAUGUUUGAUGUUUCUCGUAGAAGAUUUUCCAUUAAUAAAAGUUUAAGAUUUUCGUGAUGCCAUUUCAUCAAUUUUUGGUGAAUCCUAAACUAUUCUAUCCUAAAAUCCUAAUGUGUAUUUUGUACAUCACCACUUUAUUGGGGGAAAAAUGGAGGUAAAAAGCGCGGGAGAAUAAUAAGGAGGGAAAGGGAUGAUAAAUGAGAAAAAGGAGGGGAGAAAAGUGCAAACAGACAAAAUAUUGACAACUAGAAAUCGUGGAAGUGGUGCAUGCAUGAGAAACAUAUACAUACAUGAUACAUACAUCCAUAUAUAUCUGCAUAGUCUCAAUCAGCAUUUCUUCGCCGUAUAUUCCGGUCAACUCUAGCUUUUAAAUAUCUCGUUAUUUUUAUUUCUAUUUUCUCAUUGUUAAUAGUAUAUCAUUUCUUCCAGAAAAUACGACUCCUACGAUAAAAAGUUUCCAAAUAUUGUAUUUUUAUCCGUCCUAAAUAUGUGAAAGUAUUUGAAAUUCAAGUUUCAAACUGUUGGUAUUAUUUCACGCAUGCGUCAUUUCUAGAAAAUUGCUCAAAGUUCAGGUUAGAAACUUAUAUGUACCCUAUUGAAGUAUUCCGCAUUAGAUUGGAGAUGGUGACAUGAGCCAUUUUAUAUAAUGAGGCAACCAUCUCCCUUACAAGGUCUUUUAAGGAAAGAAUGAGUCCAAUAUUCAUUUUUAACAUGAUAUCAGAGCCAACUCAAUUUAAUGAUGGACCCCCCAAUAUCGUUGUCAACAGAUGGCGUUUGGGAUAGUCCACGCUGCGCGUGCAGGGAUGUAUUGAAGUGUCUCACAUUGGAUUGAAGAUGGUGACAUGAGCCACUUUAUAUGGU
rnacentral:lncRNA from 1 species